AUCCCAGCACUAAGAAGGUUGAAACAGGAAGUGAUAUGGCUGGGCAGAGAAAGGAAUAGAAGGCAGGAGGAGGCAGGAACUCUGGCUCCCACUUUCAGGCUGAGGAGUUGGUGAGGAUUUUACUAAGUACUCAGGAUGAACUUGAACUCCAGUUUGAGACCCUGUCUGAGAAACAGGCUGGUCAUGGUCAGAAUGGCACGUACUUAAGAUUCCAGAGCAACUCCACAAAAGAAGAAAGAGGAGCAUUGCAGAGGCUGGAUCACAGGCACAUGUCACCAAACCCAGCUGGAAGCAGUUCUGUUGGCUUCAAGGUCAGCAGAAGAGUAAGUGAAGGAAUCCAGAAGUUCUAAGCCAGGAAAGAUGGGACAUACCUAAAAUAUCAAGACUCGGGAGACAGGAGGAUUACUCCAAGUUCAAGGCCAACUCACUGAAGAGUGAGGAAUGUGCACUAUUAACCAGAACAUGGAGGACGGCUUGAUCGCCUCAGAGGAGGACUUCAUGGAGGCCCAGGAGCCUGACCUGACUGUGGAAAGAUGAGUAAGAGGCACAAACCUGAAGAAGAGCCUGAACAAAGACACAGGUAUGACAGUUCAUGCUGACUAAUUCUCUGUGGCUGUCUCCAGGACAAAGAAUGCUUCCUGGGUGGAAAUAGCAGGAGACGAGGCUGGGAAAACUGGCCCUGGAUCAGGUGAUUAGAGACCUCUGAGAAGUGUUUGUGUUCUGUUACAGGGCUGGAGAGAUGGCUCGGUGGUUAAGAGCACAUACUGCCUUACAGAGGAUCUGGGUUCAGUUCCCAGCAUUUUAGCUCAUAAUUGUUUAUGACUCCAGUCCACGUGAUCGACAGCCUCUUCUGAUCUCCGGACACCUGUGGACAUACCACACAUCAUAAAAAGAAAUCUUUUUUUUUUCUGGUUUUUUGAAACAGAGUCUCUCUAUAUAGUCUGGCUGUCUUGAAGCUCUCUAUGUAGACCAGGAUGGCCUCAAACUCAUGGAGAUCUGCCUGCCUUUGUCUCCCGAGUGCUAGGAUUAAAGGCGUGUGUUAUCACAUCCAGCUUAAUAAAAAUAAACUGUU